rnacentral:tmRNA from 1 species
GGGGGCGACCUGGCUUCGACGGGGGUCGCGAAACCUGAGGUGCAUGCCGAGGAUGCAACUUACCUCGUAAAUCAUGUUGCUAACUUAUAGUUGCCAACGACGACAACUACGCUCUAGCCGCUUAAAACCGGCUGGACCCUCAUUUAAAGUUUGCUUGUGGGUUUUCUUUGAGGGUCACUUUACACAAGAUCGCAAAGCGGACUCGCCCGGGUCUUAAUUGCUAAACCUGAUCGGGCCAGCGUUUGGGUAUCCUGUCCGUCGGAAAUUCAGGCGUUAAAUUAAAGACCGGACUAAGCAUGUAGUACCAACGGCGUAGGGCUUUCGGACGCGGGUUCGAUUCCCGCCGCCUCCACCA